GUGCUUUCCAGCCCUGGGGACGCAAAGCCCAGAAACUUGGCUUGAAAGUGGUCUUCCAGUGUCCCGCCCACCUGCCCGUUUUCCAAGAGGUGCCCUUGUGCUGUGGGUUGUUGAUGAGUGACUGGUUUUCCAUAACUAAGUGCUAGGAAUUAUUCAUUCUGCUUUGUCUUGGGCAAGAACAUAGUGACUCUGCAUUGAUUCUGGGUUCUCUGAUGGACAGAGCUCAAGACUUAUUGAAAAAAACAAAAAAACAAAAACAACAACAACAACAAAAAAAAAACCCAGGGAUUGGAGAGAUGGCUCAGGGCCACUCUUGCAGAGGAUCCAGGUUCAUUUCCCAUCCGUGUUGGGAGUGUCACAACUUCCUGUAGCUGUAGGUAUGGAGAGUCCAAUGCCCUGUUUUUGCAGACCUCAGUAGGAACGUGCAGACAAAUGACUCGCAUGCACACUCAAACACAUUUACAUGACCCGUGCAAAUUAAAACCAGGGCUUCCUUAAACACUAGAAUUUGUUCUUUAGAAAAUGACACGGGAUAUGACAGCUUAAGGGCAGAGGAGGCACAGCACACAUCUAAUCAGAAGCCAGCAGCCUCGGCGGUGGGUGAUACACAAGGCCAGGUGUAGUGGAAGCUGAAGCCGCUUCCAUCUAGGUCCCACUUCACUCUGCUGUUCACCACCGAGAAACUUCAAGGUUUAGGCCAGAGAACAACCUGGCCAUGAACCAGUACGGCAGUGCGCUCCACUCACAUGAACAGGGUCAGAAGUGGUGCACAUGUGGGUGCAUCAACUGGACUUCUUCCAUAAUCAGCUUGGCUCUUCUCCUCUGGGUUUGUUUUGACUUUUUUUUUUUUUUAAAGAUUAGUGUAUGUAGCAUAGACUUGCCUUAAAACUACGUAGCCUAGGCUGGCUUUGGACUGUCUGUCCUCUUCCUGUGUAACCCAGGCUGGCUUUGACCUGCUGGUCCUAUACUUUAGCCUCUCAUAGAUCUAGUAUUACAGGAACUGCCAUGACACUCUGCUUCUGGGCUGUGUGUGUGAAAUAGCGUUACUGAGAUGUAAUUCAAAGAGUAAAAGUGUGCCAUUGGUGGAUUUGAUAGACAUUUGUAUCUGUGAUAGCCGUACCAAACAAACAUCUUUUACAAGGGGAACACCUCCACUUUCCUAUCCUUCCUAAUGGUUCCUGGUGCUCAGGUCCCCUGUGCAGGCGGUGUCUUCCUUCAGUCUCAAGUAAGACUUUAUUUAUUUAUUUACUUACUUACUUAUUUUUGGUUUUUCGAGACAGGGUUUCUCUGUGUAGCCCUGGCUGUCCUGGAACUCACUUUGUAGACCAGGCUGGCCUCGAACUCAGAAAUCCGUCUGCCUCUGCCUCCCGAGUGCUGGGAUUAAAGGCGUGCGCCUCCAUGCCUGGCAAGAUGUGAUCUUGAUGGAAGUUCAGCCCUAUUUUAACAGUUUCAUAUAAAUGAGGCUUAUUGACAACCACUUGGGCUGGGUCAUUGUGUUAUGAAGGCCUUCCUUGCGUGAUAGGAUGCUUGACAGAGUUGCAGCCUGCCGAUAAGUGUCCCUUUGAGAGCAGAGUUGCCCCAGGCUGAGCGCCUGGUGGAUCAUUGCUUUCCUGCCUGGCUUUCCCCUUAAGCAGGUUCCUUAGAGGUUGCACGCACACUGCUGAGAAUAGGUGUUCCUUUACAUUUGUCUGUUUUGACGAAAGGACCUCUCGAUGUAGCCGACAUAGUCUGUUAUUUGCCCUCUCGUGGCGGGCACAGUGCACUGUCACCUGCGUAGGGUGAGUACUCUUCUCUUUGAGGAGUGGGUGGUAAGUCAACUCUUCAACAGGAUGGCUUUCAAAGGACUAGCCAACUCACGGGCUUCUCCAGUGCUCUAGCUCCUGACAGCUGCCUGCCCCACGGGCCUGGAACAGUAUUGGGUGUAGUCCAGGGGUCUUCAAAUCACUCAGGAGCCCCUUCUUACAGCCAGUUAAGUAUUCUGCAAGUGUCCUCGGCCCCACUGGGCUUUCUGUCCCUGUUCCCCUGCCGUAGUCUGAGUCCCUGGAACUAGCUACUCUGCUUAGGUUCCCACCUGGUGGCCAUGGAUACUGCAGAUGUUUUCUGACAGAGGCGUUAGCAGGAUGUGACUCAUGCUGACAACAGGCUUUGUGGAUAGUAAAUGGAGCUACCCCUAGCAUAGCCAAGGCAUAGGCACUGUGGCAAGUGUCUGCGGGCACACUGCUGACACUUCCUGAGAUGGUUAGGGGCUCUGGCCGCUCUGCAGAGCAGCUGUUCUCUGUACUGGGCACAUUCUAGGACUCAGGGAGGAGGCACUCAAGUCUGUCCUCAAGUCUCUGAAGUAUACUUUUAUUUUGUUGUCCAGCAUAUGUCACCUUCUUGUCACUUAUUUCCCAGGAAUACUCUUGUUUCUACCCCAAUUUAUGAGGCUCCCUCCUCCUCCAUACUCUCUGUCACUUAUGUCCCAGAGGGUGGGGGGUUGCUACAGUAACCGUGGCACACCCUGUUUUUCUAAAAAGCUUUCCUGGCAAAUGGCAAAGGGCAUUCUUUGUCUGUGUCACGUGCACAUAUACCCUCUGUGGCCCAGCGCCUGCCAAGCCUUGGUUUUGUUAUGAAUGUUCACAAAAUGCCCUAGCCAGCUCUUUCCACCCGCUUCCACUCUGGGCUGGCCUCUGCAGACUGAGCUCAGACCUAGACCAACGUCUUACCCCAGGGCUAAGAAAAAGGAAGAAACCAAGAUUUGGCUUGACUGCCUGCCAGAGCUGGGUAGUGCCCUGCCUGAGGGCCAGUUGGGAGGUGGCAGAAAGGCAUGGUGCAGCGGCAAGUGUGUAUCCUAUCCCCCUUGUGGGGACUGUUCUCGACUGCAGUUGCAUCUCAGGCCACAGCAUGACCUUUGAUCUGUCGCCCAGCCUGUGCUCUGGGUGUGUCUAGUUAAAACCACUGACAUCUACGAAGCCCAGGCUGUACUUAUGCUUUAAGACUGCCUCAGGCCUGACCCCUGGCCUCAGUGUGUUCAUAGUGUGCACAGGCCCGAUCCACAGUAACUGUCCUGGAAGUCAUUAGAGUCUCCAGGGUCUUGAAGGCCUUGUCUUACUCAGCACAGGGAUGGUAACUAUGCAGAGAUCAAAGCACCUUAUCUGCUAAGAAGAAAACAUUAACCCAUGCUGGGUGCACAGUGCACACUUGCAAUCCCAGCCAAUCGAAAGGCUGAAGCAGGAGAGUCCCUUCUAGGCCAGCCUGGGGCCCUAAAUGAGGGGUUUCCCCCUACACACACCUAGUUUUUCUUUUUUGUUUGUUUGUUUUUCCCUUUUGUUUUGUUUUAAUCUCUUAAGACCUGGAAUUAUUUUAGAAUCAUGACCGUAGGGGAGGCUCAGCAGGUAACACAUUCUGCUCAUAGACAGGACCCAUGUCUGGGGGUUACAACCUCUGAUAAAUGUCACCUCCAAGGGAUCUGAUGCCUCUCUGGACUCCUAGGGUACCACACACAGACAUGCCUAUAAUUUUUAAAAAGUAAAAUCUU
rnacentral:lncRNA from 1 species